rnacentral:rRNA from 1 species
GGGAAUCUACCCUGAACUGCGGAAUAGCUCCGGGAAACUGGAAUUAAUACCGCAUGUGCCCUGAGGGGCAAAGAUUUAUCGGUUCAGGAUGAGCCCGCGUCGGAUUAGCUAGUUGGUGGGGUAAUGGCCUACCAAGGCGACGAUCCGUAGCUGGUCUAAGAGGAUGAUCAGCCACAUUGGGACUGAGACACGGCCCAAACUCCUACGGGAGGCAGCAGUGGGGAAUAUUGGACAAUGGGCGCAAGCCUGAUCCAGCCAUGCCGCGUGAGUGAUGAAGGCCCUAGGGUUGUAAAGCUCUUUCAGUGGGGACGAUAAUGACGGUACCCACAGAAUAAGCUCCGGCUAACUCCGUGCCAGCAGCCGCGGUAAUACGGAGGGAGCUAGCGUUGUUCGGAAUUACUGGGCGUAAAGCGCACGUAGGCGGCUUUGUAAGUUAGAGGUGAAAGCCUGGAGCUCAACUCCAGAAUUGCCUUUAAGACUGCAUCGCUUGAAUCCAGGAGAGGUGAGUGGAAUUCCGAGU